rnacentral:rRNA from 1 species
UACAGAGGUCUCAAGCGUUGUUCGGAUUCAUUGGGCGUAAAGGGCGCGUAGGCGGUUGGAUAAGUCAGCUGUGAAAACCACGGGCUUAACUCGUGGCCUGCAGUUGAGACUGUCUGGCUUGAGUGUGGGAGAGGAGAGUGGAAUUCCUGGUGUAGCGGUGAAAUGCGUAGAUAUCAGGAGGAACACCGGUGGCGAAGGCGGCUCUCUGGACCACAACUGACGCUGAGGCGCGAAAGCUAGGGGAGCAAACAGG